rnacentral:rRNA from 1 species
GUGGACGCCAGUCUGCAUGGAGCCGACCUUGAAAUACCACCCUUUAAUGUUUGAUGUUCUAACGUGGACCCGUAAUCCGGGUUGCGGACAGUGUCUGGUGGGUAGUUUGACUGGGGCGGUCUCCUCCUAAAGAGUAACGGAGGAGCACGAAGGUUGGCUAAUCCUGGUCGGACAUCAGGAGGUUAGUGCAAUGGCAUAAGCCAGCUUGACUGCGAGCGUGACGGCGCGAGCAGGUGCGAAAGCAGGUCAUAGUGAUCCGGUGGUUCUGAAUGGAAGGGCCAUCGCUCAACGGAUAAAAGGUACUCCGGGGAUAACAGGCUGAUACCGCCCAAGAGUUCAUAUCGACGGCGGUGUUUGGCACCUCGAUGUCGGCUCAUCACAUCCUGGGGCUGAAGUAGGUCCCAAGGGUAUGGCUGUUCGCCAUUUAAAGUGGUACGCGAGCUGGGUUUAGAACGUCGUGAGACAGUUCGGUCCCUAUCUGCCGUGGGCGCUGGAGAACUGAGGGGGGCUGCUCCUAGUACGAGAGGACCGGAGUGGACGCAUCACUGGUGUUCGGGUUGUCAUGCCAAUGGCACUGCCCGGUAGCUAAAUGCGGAAGAGAUAAGUGCUGAAAGCAUCUAAGCACGAAACUUGCCCCGAGAUGAGUUCUCCCUGAGACUUUAGGUCUCCUGAAGGAACGUUGAAGACGACGACGUUGAUAGGCCGGGUGUGUAAGCGCAGCGAUGCGUUGAGCUAACCGGUACUAAUGAACCGUGAGG